UGUUAAAAAUUUCAUCAAUUUCUAUUAAAAUUGGUGUGGUUAACAAAAUAACAUGUGAUGUGCCAUGUGUACUUUAUAUUGAUGUACAUGGACUAGUUUUUAACAGAGAAAAUGGAUAGAAUUUUUAACA
rfam:Gossypium hirsutum cultivar TM-1 chromosome 24, whole genome shotgun sequence